GGGGGAUGUAUGCUCCAAGGUUGUGCCCACUCGGCACGACCCAGGUUCCAUGCUACAGGCCUCUGCUUGUCCAGACCUGAGGGUCAGAUUCAGAUGGUGCAAAUGUUUAAGACCUGGGUCUUCAACGAGAUGAAUUAUCAGCUAUUUCAUAGCUGCAGUGUUGGAUAUGCCGAGAUGAUAAAAGCAACAGCAAUCAGAAUCAACAGUUGAAACGACGUGGCAGACACUGUGAAUGCUAUGAACUGCUGUGCUGAGCAGCAGGAUUCCUGUGUCCUGGCGCAAUGCCCAUGGGGAUUCAUGCUUUCAGAGGGUCACGCCUCAGGAACACGUAGAAGGGCAAGCAUUUCAUCCGGCAGGGCACUGAUUUAAUCUGCACGCAUGUUUGGCUGUAAAACUAGCUCCUCCCCCUUACCAUUUUUGAGUCGCUGCCGGACUCAAAUUCCACAGAUUCUGGAAGGUGUCCAGGAACUCGUUGAUUUGUCAAACUUAUGGCUACACACAGCUGGAAUGGAGACGGACUCCACUGAAGAGACUCAUACAGGACAGGAGGGAAUUUUAAGAGGAUAACCCUGAUAUUCCCUGGCCAUUGAAAUCGACUACUUGUGUCAGAAUACAAAGCUACAUGAGAUGUGGUCCUUGUCCUCAAUAAGCACGCGAGUCAGGGAGUUGGAGGGGAGAUUAUGAGUAAGGAAGAAAUAUAGAGUUGAGACCAAUCUACAUAAGUCCAGGUUAAAGGGAAGCUUUUCCCGCCCUCCAGAAGACACAGGCAGUGGCUCAGGUGACCUGCCAGCAUGGAACCUGUCUCUCUCAACAAGAUUGAAAACAUCAAACCAAACCUGAAGCACUGAGAGGUUGGGUAACCAGCUCUGGUCACUGAGUUGGUGAGGGAUGGAUUCAGAAGAGGUCUCCAAUUGUGACACCGCAGAGGACCUGCUCUUGGCCACCACACUCUACCAGCUCUGCAAGAAGACCCACAGAGCCUGUGUGUGCGGCUGAGGUGCUCAGACUGGCAGGUGAAAUGACUUCAUUAGUGCCCUUGCUCCUGGUGGGAUGAGAGUGGGAACCCAGCCUUCUGAGUUGAAGAACUGGAACAAACAUCAGCCCUGACACAUUGAUGUCAGUUUACCUUUGUGAGAAACAGGAACGAAAUGUGAACAUCUAUUUCAGGGGGAAGAAAAUAGGGCUGUUUUGAGGAGAUGUGGCUGAGAAAACAGAAAAAGAGAAUUACAGGCCUGAAAUCCCAGCACUCUGGGAGGCUGAGGCCCCUGGCGCUGGUUCUCUCUGGAGGUUGAGUUUCCGUGGGGAGAGAAGAGUGCCCAGCGUGACCACCGUUGGCUGACUUCCCAUGCAUUAUUCCUUGUUUCCCCCGCUGGGGCCCAGCCCACCAGCCCCACAGUGCAUGAAGCCACUUAUCACCAAGGUUCCCAGAGAGGACGGGCUGGCCCAAGUCUGCAUUGUCACCUGCUUUGGGGAAAACAAAGCCCUUUCCCCCGCCCUCCCCACAGCAUGCUGGGCACAGGGCCAGCCCGUUCUAUGUUUUCAGUAAAUUUUCAAAACUGCUGGUUUUGGUGGCAGCUUUUGCAGUGAUUAUCUCAUUAGGGGCUUGGCCCUGAAACACCUUAUUUAUUGUGGAUUGAAAAAAGUUCACCUUUUCAAGCAAAAAAAAAAAAAAAAAAAAAACAGAAGAAAUAAAUAAAAGAACCAGACUGUAGUUUCCCUGGAAAAUUUUCGCUUGUGGGAAAAUACCUCCCUGGCCCGUAGAGAGACGCCAUCACCAACAGUGUGGAGUUAUCAGAUGGGACUGGUCCAGCUUUGUGGGGCCGGGGCACACAGUGCCAAUGUCCAGGUAGUUUCCAAACCGUGUUUUGUUUCCUCUGUCCUCUUUAUAAACCCACGGAUUGAACCUCAUGGGCCCACAAGUUCCUGAUUGCUUCGUAUAUAUUGUACAGAUUUUUUCAGGAAAAUAAAAUAGAUCUUGCUCUACCCUGACAGAGC
rnacentral:lncRNA from 1 species